rnacentral:rRNA from 1 species
AGUGAACGCUGGCGGCAGGCCUAACACAUGCAAGUCGAACGGCAGCACAAGAGAGCUUGCUCUCUGGGUGGCGAGUGGCGGACGGGUGAGGAAUGCAUCGGAAUCUGCCCAUUUGUGGGGGAUAACCUCGGGAAACCGGGACUAAUACCGCAUACGACCUACGGGUGAAAGCAGGGGAUCUUCGGACCUUGCGCAGAUGGAUGAGCCGAUGCCGGAUUAGCUAGUUGGAGGGGUAAAGGCCCACCAAGGCGACGAUCCGUAGCUGGUCUGAGAGGAUGAUCAGCCACACUGGGACUGAGACACGGCCCAGACUACUACGGGAAGCAGCAGUGGGGAAUAUUGGACAAUGGGGGCAAGCCUGAUCCAGGCAUGCCGCGUGUGUGAAGAAGGCCUUCGGGUUGUAAAGCACUUUUGUUGGGAAAGAAAAGCAGCCGGUUAAUACCCGGUUGUCGUGACGGUACCCAAAGGAUAAGCACCGGGUAACUUCGUG